ACCAUCUUUUCCUUGGGGUUGUACUACUAUCCUCUGAGCAUGUAGUGAGAGCAGUACAGCUAGUGCCUAAACAGCACACUCCCAUCAACUAGAGCUCUGCUUUAUUUUGGUGUAGUUUUAGGAAAA